UACGAAGGAUUCGAGCGUUAUCCGGAUUUAUUGGGUUUAAAGGGUGCGUAGGUGGACUAAUAAGUCAGUGGUGAAAGCCCGCAGCUUAACUGCGGAACUGCCAUUGAUACUGUUAGUCUUGAGUACAGUUGAGGUGGGCGGAAUGUGUCAUGUAGCGGUGAAAUGCUUAGAUAUGACACAGAACACCGAUUGCGAAGGCAGCUCACUAAGCUGUAACUGACACUGAGGCACGAAAGUGUGGGUAG
rnacentral:rRNA from 1 species